ACUGCGACUUUAAAAACACACACGUUGACAACGGGAAUGGUUUUGAAAUAAAUCCUAAUGUGACUUGCAAAUGGCAUUACCAGCCUUGCCAGUGCCCAUUUGCUCCUCAUGGCUAUCCACAUCAAAAUAGUGAAGGUUGUUAUCAGUGUGGUCAUGAAAAGUAUUGGAAUCCAGAUACAAAGACAUGUGAGCCUUGUGAUACGCCAACAAGCACAACAUCGGCACCAACUACUACUCCUGUAUCUACUACAUCAACUCAUUCUACAACUCCAACACCAGACUCAA